AACGAACGCUGGCGGCGUGGAUAAGACAUGCAAGUCGAACGAUCACUAUUGGGUAGCAAUAUUCGGUAGUGGGAGUGGCGCAAGGGUGCGUAACACGUGGGUAAUUUGCCGUAAAGUCUGGGAUAACUUGCUGAAAGGCGAGCUAAUACCGGAUGUGAUUGCUGGAGGGCAUCCUCUGGCACUUAAAGUCGGGGACCGUAAGGCCUGACACUUUUCGAUAAGCCCGCGGCCUAUCAGCUAGUUGGUGAGGUAACGGCUCACCAAGGCUAAGACGGGUAGCUGGUCUGAGAGGACGACCAGCCUCACUGGAACUGAGACACGGUCCAGACACCUACGGGUGGCAGCAGUCGAGAAUUUUUCUCAAUGGGGGAAACCCUGAAGGAGCGACGCCGCGUGGGGGAUGAAUGGCUUCGGCCCGUAAACCCCUGUCAUUUGCGAUCAAACCUUACGACUUAACACGUCGUAAGCUGAUAGUAGCGAAAGAGGAAGGGACGGCUAACUCUGUG
rnacentral:rRNA from 1 species